AGGGUUUGAUCCUGGCUCAGAACGAACGCUGGCGGCAUGGCUAAAACAUGCAAGUCGAGCGCGAAAGUUCCCUUCGGGGAGCGAGUAGAGCGGCGAAAGGGCGAGUAAUGCAUGGGUAACGUACCUCCUGCACAGGGAUAGCCCACCGAAAGGUGGUGUAAUACCUGAUGAUAUCGCGGCCACCUACGUGGCGGCGAUCAAAGGCGGGGACCCUUCGGGGCCCGUUGGCUGGAGAGCGGCCCAUGUCCUAUCAGCUUGUUGGUGAGGUAAUGGCUCACCAAGGCUACGACGGGUACCGGGACUGAGAGGUUGGCCCGGCGCAUUGGGACUGAGACACUGCCCAGACUCCUACGGGAGGCUGCAGUAACGAAUAUUGGGCAAUGGGCGAAAGCCUGACCCAGCAAUGCCGCGUGUGGGAUGAAGCCUUUCGGGGUGUAAACCACUGUCAGGGACUACCAAGCAAAGGGACCUAAUACGUCCCGGCGUUGAGGAAUCCCAGAGGAAGCCACGGCUAACUUCGUGCCAGCAGCCGCGGUAAUACGAAGGUGGCGAGCGUUGUUCGGAAUCACUGGGCUUAAAGAGCACGUAGGCGGCCUUGCAAGCGUCCCGUGAAAUCCCCCGGCUCAACCGGGGAACUGCUGGGCGAACUGCAAGGCUUGAGGCGAGUAGAGGUGCGUGGAACUCUUGGUGGAGCGGUGAAAUGCGUAGAUAUCAAGAGGAACGCCGGAGGCGAAAGCGGCGCACUGGGCUUGUCCUGACGCUGAGGUGCGAAAGCUAGGGGAGCGAACGGGAUUAGAUACCCCGGUAGUCCUAGCCGUAAACGAUGCCUACUAGGUUGGAGACUCUCUGACGGGUUUCCAGCCGAAACUAAAGCGUUAAGUAGGCCGCCUGGGGAGUACGGUCGCAAGGCUAAAACUCAAAGGAAUUGACGGGAGCUCACACAAGCGGUGGAGCAUGUUGCUUAAUUCGAUUCAACGCGAAGAACCUUAUCCUGGGCUUGACAUGCUUGGAUGCCCAUCUGGAAACAGAGUAGGCUGCCCUUCGGGGUGAAACUUGCACAGGUGCUGCAUGGCUGUCGUCAGCUCGUGUCGUGAGAUGUUGGGUUAAGUCCCGUAACGAGCGAAACCCUUGUCGUUAGUUGCCAGCGGGUCAUGCCGGGGACUCUAGCGAGACCGCCGGUGUUAAACCGGAGGAAGGUGGGGAUGACGUCAAGUCCUCAUGGCCUUUAUGCCCAGGGCUGCAAACGUGCUACAAUGGCUGGUACAAACCGACGCAAGACCGCGAGGUGGAGCAAAUCGGAAAAAGCCGGCCCCAGUUCGGAUUGGAGUCUGCAACUCGACUCCAUGAAGUCGGAAUCGCUAGUAAUCGCAGAUCAGCUAUGCUGCGGUGAAUGUGUUCCUGAGCUUUGUACACACCGCCCGUCAAGUCAUGGAAGCCGGGAGCGCCCGAAGUCGGUCCGUUUCAGGGCUGCCGAAGGUGAGCUCGGUGACUGGGACUAAGUCGUAACAAGGUA
rnacentral:rRNA from 1 species